rnacentral:rRNA from 1 species
AGCAGCCGCGGUAAUACGAAGGGUGCAAGCGUUACUCGGAAUUAUUGGGCGUAAAGAGCUCGUAGGCGGCCCGGUAAGUCAACUGUGAAAGCUCCGGGCUCAACUCGGAGAGGCCAGUUGAUACUGCCGUGGCUAGAGUCCGGUAGGGGAGCGUGGAAUUCCUGGUGUAGCGGUGAAAUGCGCAGAUAUCAGGAGGAACACCAGCGGCGAAGGCGGCGCUCUGGGCCGGAACUGACGCUGAGGAGCGAAAGCGUGGGGAGCA